UACGUAGGGUGCAAGCGUUGUCCGGAAUUAUUGGGCGUAAAGAGCUCGUAGGCGGUUUGUCGCGUCUGCUGUGAAAACGCGAGGCUCAACCUCGCGCCUGCAGUGGGUACGGGCAGACUAGAGUGCGGUAGGGGAGAUUGGAAUUCCUGGUGUAGCGGUGAAAUGCGCAGAUAUCAGGAGGAACACCGAUGGCGAAGGCAGGUCUCUGGGCAUUAACUGACGCUGAGGAGCGAAAGCAUGGGGAGCGAACAGG
rnacentral:rRNA from 1 species